ACUUUCUGUCAGCCCUGCGCUCCAGAGGGAGGAGAAGGAGAGAGAAAGAGAGAGGGGAGAGAGAAUCAAGGGGCCAUCUGUUUUGUCCCUAUCCUACACUUUUAAAAAGUGUUGUCUCCCCUUUGAGCAGACAGGAUGGAGAACGCACACACCAAAGAAACAGCAGAAUGCCUGGCCUACUUCAGCGUGAGCGAGACCACAGGCCUCGCUCCGGAUCAGGUCAAGAAAAACCAAGACAAGUAUGGAUUCAAUGAGCUGCCCGCUGAAGAAGGUAAGAGCAUCUGGGAGCUGGUGGUUGAGCAGUUUGAAGAUCUCUUGGUCAGGAUCCUGCUGUUGGCUGCUUGCAUCUCUUUUGUA